rnacentral:rRNA from 1 species
AUUGAACGCUGGCGGCAGGCUUAACACAUGCAAGUCGAGCGGGGUGAUGGUGCUUGCACUAUCACUUAGCGGCGGACGGGUGAGUAAUGCUUAGGAAUCUGCCUAUUAGUGGGGGACAACAUCUCGAAAGGGAUGCUAAUACCGCAUACGUCCUACGGGAGAAAGCAGGGGAUCACUUGUGACCUUGCGCUAAUAGAUGAGCCUAAGUCGGAUUAGCUAGUUGGUGGGGUAAAGGCCUACCAAGGCGACGAUCUGUAGCGGGUCUGAGAGGAUGAUCCGCCACACUGGGACUGAGACACGGCCCAGACUCCUACGGGAGGCAGCGGUGGGGAAUAUUGGAGAAUGGGGGGAACCCUGAUCCAGCCAUGCCGCGUGUGUGAAGAAGGCCUUAUGGUUGUAAAGCACUUUAAGCGAGGAGGAGGCUCUUUUGGUUAAUACCCAAGAUGAGUGGACGUUACUCGCAGAAUAAGCACCGGCUAACUCUGUGCCAGCCGCCGCGGUAA